CUUUGUAACGUCCUGUCUGACCGCCUCCUGUAGGAAAAAGGAAAAUCUGCUGAUAGCUGAUAGUAUUUUGGAAAAAGUUUCUUCAUUCUGACUCUGUUAAAGUCUCCCAACACAAUAAAGUCUCACUCUGGGUUAAAAUCCCUGAUCUGCUAAUGACGCUGCACCUUCAUCCACAGCGGAUGUCAGCUUGUGAUGGGAUGUAAAGAUGGGAGAGGAGAGCUGAGCUGAGAUGGAUGAUAACACUGUCCAGUGUGAUGGCAGCUCCUGACGUGUCUGCUUCUGCCCGAUUCUUUCUGUGUUUGCUUUGAGUUUAGCUGAAGCUUGGACAUCGCCUGCCUUCUGGUCGAGGACCCUGAUACUCCUGAAGCUGCAGAGAAAGCGAAACAACAGUUUAAUUGGCAUUGAGGACGAGCACGAAGAUGUUUGCAGCUGAGGCCAAAAAACUGAUUGACAAGGUGGGAGAUAAAGAGCUCAUCUAUAAUGAGAGCCUAAUCAAGAAAGUAGAUCUGCUGACUCUGGUCAAAGUCAGCAAAGGAAAAUUCUGGCCAGUGCAAAAGUACAAGAUAAUGCAACUCAGUCUGCCCGAGCUCAUGGAGGUGGAAGACUUCAGCCCAGAAGGGAGAAUCAGCUGGGAGUGUGUGUCUUUAUGCUCCAGUUAUACCAGAGGUGGCGAGUGCACAGAUGAGCCCUUUGUGAGUAAUUUCAUGACUUCAACAAAGACGAGCGGGAGAGGAGGGUUAGGUGGAAAAGACAUUGGUGUGUAUGAAGCUGAAGUGAAUGCAGGCGCUGACAGUAUGGAUGGACUAGUUCAGCCCGUCAACAUGAUGUCGAAGAAAGUCGACCUUAAAGCCCUGAGGAGCGAGCUCAGUGACGGGACCAUAAAAACAGACAAAGUGAACCUGCUGGCACUGAAAACGAAGGAUAAACUGGCUUUUGUUCACCAGACAAUUUACAACUCUUCUCCUGUCACACUUAUUAGAAAGUGCACGAGGGAUGGGUCCUUGUUAGCCUCCUGCAUAAAGAUACUGAGUCUGUUUGCAAAGGGCCACAGAAAAGAGAAGACAAGCUUCACUGUUCCAGAAAAAUCCACCUUUGCUUACGGCCUGGUGGAGAUAAAGAUAGAGGAUGAGAAGCUAAAGAUCUCGUGUGAACCCUGGACUCGAGGUGCCCUCGAUGGACUCUUUGGCGAUGACAUAGAGAGUGCGAUGCUACAACAGAUUAAAGAAGAACUAAAGAUGAAGGAUGCUUUUCUGCAGCCGCUGGCAGAUCUUCCCGAGUCGACCCGUCAUGAUCUACUGAAGAAGCUCAGCGAGCUUGCUGAGGAUGGGGAUACUCUCUCUCUGCUGGAGCAAACAUUGGAUCACUGCAGUAAUGGAGCAUUUGAAGGCACUUUGUCUCAGGCUGCCUCCUCCUUCAUGGACCUUCUCGAUAUUUCAAACAUCUCCACUGCUGUGAAGGAUGCUGUUCACCUGUUGGUCAGCGCGUUGGACACUCUGCCAGAUGAAGUGCCGCCACUUCUGACCUGCUGCAGUCCAGACACUCUGAGAGUGCUCAACCAGUUGGUGGAUGGUCUGAAGGACGGUCGGGCCACACUGCCAGAGUCCCUGCCCGUCCCCCUGCAGGAGGGAGGGGAGCUCCGCUGGGCGGCCGAGUUCAUCUGUUUGAACGAUCAGAAGCUGAAAGAGUUGAGUGACGGCUGGGACCGGCCCGAGCUGCCCCCAGAGGUUCUGCUGGAGGUUCUGUGCCUCGCUGUGCAGGGACUCAGCCUCCUGAUGCAGCCCACAACAAACCCUUAAUGUCAGCUGCUGUGAUCUUUGUUAACCUGUUUUCACAGCAGCGUUCUGCAUCUUUGAACGUUUCUGCCAUUGUUUCCUGAACUUUCAUCUGUCAAAGAUCAAAAACAAAAAGAAUAAUCUAAUAAAAUAUAUAUAUAUUUUUAAAUAAAUAAAACUUCAUACUUUUAUGUUCGGCUCAUGGUUUUAAUAUUUUAUUAGUUUUUGCUGCACUCCUUUAUGUUCUGUCCUGUUCCCUCCUCUGUGCCCCUGACCCUGUUUCCAUGCUUGUUUACUGUUAGUUAUUUUUACAAUAUUGAUAUAGAACUAAUCUCUUGAAAUAUCAUAUAUCAGAUUUGGUACUUGAGAGACAAGAAAAAGAAGUGACAGCAUGCAGAGAAGGAGGCUAAACAUUGUGCCCUCUGCUCCAGAGACAGUCCUCACAAACAGGCGAUAGAAACUGUAGGGUCAGAGUCUGGACUGAACCUGUCAAGAGUAUUUUUGUUUUUAAAGGUUUUAUUAUUCAUAUAAUAAUCAGCUAAGAGUGUUUAUAUUUCUGUCUUGUACUCAACCAGCUGCAUAUUUUAAUUGCUGGCUCUCUACUCUGUAACGGAAACUGUUUGCCUUCACAUUAAUUGUCAGCAGCAGGAAACCGCCACCCAAGAGCAAGAAACAACCUUGUAGAGAAUACAAAGUUCUUGAGAAAUCCCACCUGCUUGCUUGACAAGAUAAGCAUGAUAUUUCCUUUUUUGUAUGCUUCCUGUUGUGUAUAAAUAAAGGCAGCGAGCUGCUCCACGGUGUGUGAGUCUCCCCCUGAGUCUCUCACCCGUGCACGUUAAACUGCUGAA
ensembl:lncRNA